rnacentral:rRNA from 1 species
UACGGAGGGAGCUAGCGUUGUUCGGAAUUACUGGGCGUAAAGCGCGCGUAGGCGGCUUUGUAAGUUAGAGGUGAAAGCCCGGGGCUCAACCCCGGAACUGCCUUUAAGACUGCAUCGCUUGAAUCCGGGAGAGGUGAGUGGAAUUCCUAGUGAUAGAGGUGAAAUUCGUAGAUAUUAGGAAGAACACCAGUGGCGAAGGCGGCUCACUGGUCCGGUACUGACGCUGAGGUGCGAAAGCGUGGGGAGCAAACAGG